UGGGGAAUAUUGGACAAUGGGCGCAAGCCUGAUCCAGCCAUGCCGCGUGAGUGAAGAAGGCCUUAGGGUUGUAAAUCUCUUUCGGCGGGGAAGAUAAUGACGGUACCCGCAGAAGAAGCCCCGGCUAACUCCGUGCCAGCAGCCGCGGUAAUACGGAGGGGGCUAGCGUUGUUCGGAAUUACUGGGCGUAAAGGGCACGUAGGCUGGCUGUUAAGUCGGGGGUGAAAUCCUGAGGCUCAACCUCAGAAUUGCCUCCGAUACUGGCGGUCUCGAGUGCGGGAGAGGUGAGUGGAAUUCCCAGUGUAGAGGUGAAAUUCGUAGAUAUUGGGAAGAACACCAGUGGCGAAGGCGGCUCACUGGCCCGCAACUGACGCUGAGGUGCGAAAGCGUGGGGAGCAA
rnacentral:rRNA from 1 species